GUCACUUCAGCAGCACACACUGAAAUUGGAAUGACACAGAGAAGGCUAACAUGGAUCCUGUGCAAGGAUGAUAUGAAAAAUUAAUGAAGUAGUCUAUAUUUUU